rnacentral:lncRNA from 1 species
AGUUCAGACACCGACAUCUGCUUGGGGAAAUUUAUUACCAACUAGCAGGGGAUCGCAAACAAAGAUAUAUGGCAAAGAAUGCGAUAUGAAUAUCCGAAUGUUUGAAAACUAUAUGCACAUAUGCGUAGUUUUAUAUAUGAUGAAUGCUGACAAACAGGCAUCUCUAAUACCAACAAGUCCAUCGAACAAGUACAAACAUCCGGUACUACAUCUCACGAGAGAAAGCCAGGAUAACAAAG